rnacentral:rRNA from 1 species
CACGUAGGUGGCAAGCGUUGUCCGGAUUUAUUGGGUUUAAAGGGUGCGUAGGCGGCUUUGUAAGUCAGUGGUGAAAUAUGGCAGCUUAACUGUCAAGGUGCCAUUGAUACUGCAGAGCUUGAGUACAGAUGAGGUAGGCGGAAUUGACGGUGUAGCGGUGAAAUACUUAGAUAUCGUCAAGAACACCUAUAGCGAAGGCAGCUUACUAAGCUGUAACUGACGCUGAGGCACGAAAGUGUGGGGAUCAAACAGG